rnacentral:siRNA from 1 species
CCCUUCCCUUGAACAGAAUGAC